AAUUAUUAAAAAUAAGACAAAAAAAAAUGACAAAAUUGGUUUGUCAUUAGAGCCAAAAUCAUUUUGGAGUAAAUUGCAUCAAACUUAUCCAUGGGAAAAGCAUUAGUUUUGCUAAUAUGGAAAUAAAAUAUACAAAAGCUUCAAUAAUGAAGAAAAGAAAGCUACUGCAUUAUUUAAAACACUUGAAACAACUGAGACUCCUUGUAUGUUGAAGUACAAAGUUGAUAAUGAUUUUCAUGAUCAGUAUAUGAUAAGGCAAGAAGUGUGGCUAAAAUAUUUGAUGUGCUAAUGCAAUUAAUUAACCGACAAUCUCAAAAAUGCGUUUAAACAAAUGACGAAAUUGAUUUGUCAUUAGAGCCAAGAUCAUUUUGAAGUCUAUUGCAUCAUCAAAUUCAUUCAUUGGAAAAGCAUUAGUCUUGUUGAUGUAUUUGAAAUGAAAUAUAGCUAUGACAAGCUUCAAUGAUGCAGAUAAUGAAAAGAGAAGAACGUGAAAAGAGAGCUACUGCACUAUGUAAAAUAAUUGAGACAGCUGAGGCUGUUUUUUAUGCUAAAAUAUAACGUGAAAAAUACCAAGUGAAUGAUGUUAAUGUUAAAAGUGUUAUAUAGCACGUUGACUUUAGUUUAUCUUUUAAAAGUUGAGUGAAUUGUUUAUAAACUAUUUGAUAAUUAAACAAUCAUGAAAUACUGGUACACUUGAAUCCCCCAACAAAAUGCAUCAAGACCAUCCACAUCAUAUUAUGCUUCAACAAUGAUGAAUCUCUGAUAAUGAAAACUUAUUCCUUAAUUAUUAUAAAGUUCAACUUCAAUUGGAUCUAAAAAUAAUUAAGUUGAAAUGAAUCUCAACACUUAAUUAAUUAUUUAAUAUGAUUUCACCAGAAAACUUUACCUUUUUUUCAACUACAAAAUUGAAGACUAUGACAUGGUGCUGGUGUUAUUGAUUUAAUGCUCUUUUAAAUGUACUGUUGUUAUUAGUGAAUAUUUACUUGUUUUUAUCGAGCUUUAUCAAUGUUUAUUAAAAUUUCUUUUGAUAAGCCGAUGUUGUUGCUUACAAAGGAACCACGUGUUGCUUAGUGUUGCUGUUCAGAAUUUUAAAAAAGUUGUGCCUCUACUAUAAAGAAUGCUAAAAAUAUUAUAAACAGCUGGCUUAAAAUCUUCUUUUCAAAGUAAUAAAUCGUUUUCAAAUUAUUAAUAAUAACAUAAAAAAGUGAAUUAUCAAACCAACAAGAAUAAAAUAUUAAAAUAAAUUUAAUAUAAAAAAAGAAAACUAAAUUAAUUUAUAAACUGUGGUGUAAAAGUGAUGAUGGUAGUAGUGAAAAGUGAUUAUUAUUUUGUGUUCGUGCUGUGUGUGAUCAUUAAACCUGUACUGCUGAUCAGACAAAAUCAUCAUGAACUACUACAUGACAUUGGAGCAUUUUGAUAACCAGCGUGGGAACAUGAACACCCCCUA